AAUUGCUAGUAAUGGCAGGUCAGCAUACUGCCGUGAAUACGUUCCCGGGCCUUGUACACACCGCCCGUCACACCAUGAGAGUUGGAGAUACCCGAAGCCUGUGAGCUAACAGAAAUGGAGCAGCAGUCGAAGGUAGAAUCAAUGAUUGGGGUGAAGUCGUAACAAGGUAUC
rnacentral:rRNA from 1 species